rnacentral:lncRNA from 1 species
CAUCGCUUGACAAUCGAUGCUGGUGUGUUUAUGUCCCCAUCACUUAGCGGUUCGACAAAAGAGACCGAUAGAAUAAGUACUGGGCUUACAAAGAAUAAGUCCCGGGGUCGAGUUCACUGAGGUGUAACCUACCAUGACCACUGCCAUUGUGCUGCAUUGCUGUCUACCAGGCUAUGGGCUGGCACACUAUAGAAACAUUGCUUCUCAGCAAUGAAGGCGGCGAGCUGUCAGAAUCGUUAGCACACCGGGCAAAACGCUUAUCGGUAUUUCGUCUGCCGCUGCGUUCUGAGUUCAAAUUCCGCCGAGGUCGACUUCGCUUUUCAUCCUUUCGGGGUCGAUUAAAUAAGUACCAGUUACACACUGGGGUCAAUGUAAUCGACUUAAUCCCUUUGUCUGUCCUUGUUUGUCCUCUCUGUAUUUAGCCCCUUGUGGGCAAUAAAGAAAUAAGAAACAUUGCUUCUCAGGUCAAGUAUAAAUGAGUAUAUCUUUAAUAAAAGACUAUCCAACUGUGACCAUCUUGUCUUAGCUAUAGCUAAGACUUCAACCUAAAUAUAUUACUGCAAGCAGAAGUCUUCCUUGAAGCACCUGCAAUCAUGUCAUCUUAAGUUCAAUUCUCUGCUUGGCAUUUUUAAAGAAAUGUCUUUUACCAUAAAUUUUGGGUCAGCCCAAGCUAUGCAAAUGAAAUAGAGUUGAUGGAAACUAUGAGGAAUCCCAUUGGAUGGAUUGUAGCCUGUGAUACUAAGGGCCUUGUGCCUGUGAAAUUCUCUGCCACUUACAUGUUAAUUUAAUGCAUAAAUAAUCCCAAAUAAGGGUCAUUGCAAAAACUGACUGUAGAACCAUCAACAUCAAAACCAAAAUGGUUAUAGGUCCUCAGAACAAUGGCAAGUUGAACUAAAGAUAUGAUUUGAUGAAGCACAAAGCUGAAAUUAAUAUGUAUAUAAUUAUCUAAGGUAGCGAGCUGGCAGAAUCAUUAGCAUGCUGGGUAAAUUGCUAAGCAGCAUUUUGUCUGUCUUUACGUUCUGAGUUCAAAUUCCACUGAGGUUGACUUUGCUUCUCGUCCUUUUAGGGUCAAUAAAAUAAGUACCAGUUAAGCACUAGAGUUGAUUUACCCCCUCCCUGAAAUUGCUGGCCGUGUGCCAAAAUUUGAUGCCAAUAUGUAUAUAACUAUUGGUUUACGAAUACAAUUAAUUAGAUGAAAGAAAAUCCAGGCGCAGGAGUGGCUGUGUGGUAAGUAGCUUGCUUACCAACCACAUGGUCCCGGGUUCAGUCCCACUGCGUGGCAUCUUGGGCAAGUGUCUUCUGCUAUAGCCUCGGGCCGACCAAAGCCUUGUGAGUGGAUUUGGUGGACGGAAACUGAAAGAAGCCCGUCGUAUAUAUAUAUACAUGCGUGUUUGUGUGUCUGUGUUUGUCCCCCUAGCAUUGCUUGACAACCGAUGCUGGUAUGUUUAUGUCCCCGUUACUUAGCGGUUCGGCAAAAGAGACCGAUAGAAUAAGUACUGGGCUUACAAAGAAUAAGUCCCGGGGUCGAUUUGCUCGAUUAAAGGCGGUGCUCCAGCAUGGCUGCAGUCAAAUGACUGAAACAAGUAAAAGAGUAAUUAAUUUCAUUUAUCCAUUUUGCAAACACUAAGGUUAGUUUUUUUGUAGCUGAAUAAUAAUGGCCCUUUAGAAACCAUUCAACUAUGAAAUGGAAAAGGAAGAAUCCCUUGUUUUUUAAUGGGGUCGGGGUAGGUUUAUUCAGGUGGAUUCUAACAGACCAGGUUAUAUAUUUUAAUCUAGUAACAGUUGCAACAUAACAGUAGUGGUGGUAGAAAUGGUUGUGGUGUGGGUUGAACUCACUAUCUUGUGAUUAGAAGCCUAGAUUUUUUUACCUCACAGCCAUUGUGAGACACUGUGGCUGUGAGGUAAACUCAAUGCUGGGUUCAGUUGUCUAGAAAAUGAGAGAGAGAAUUUGACUGAAUGGUACCACAGUUUAUUACUGGUAUUUAAUUGACCAAGGCGGCGAACUGGCAGAAACAUUAGCACGCCGGGCAAAAUGCGUAGCCGUAUUUCGUCUGUCGUUACGUUCUGAGUUCAAAUUCCACCGAGGUCGACUUUGCCUUUCAUCCUUUCAGGGUCGAUAAAUUAAGCACUGGGGUCGAUGUAAUCGACUUAAUACCUAUGUCUGCCCUUGUUUGUCUCCUCUAUGUUUAGCCCCUUGUGGGUAAUAAAGAAAUAGGUAUUUAAUUGACCACCUGUGCAUGAAAUAGAGGAAUGAUAGAUGACCAGAAAUCAAUCAGUGAUGAAAUAAACAGACAUAUUGAACUGCCAGUUCAAUAUUGAUGUCAAUUCACUUCUUGAGAGAAAAAUAGAUAUUGAUUUUUUUGAUUAACUAAUUGACUGGAAACAAAACAAAAAUAUUUUAUUUUGAUCAUUAGUGGAAUAGGCCAUUAUUAUUGUAGUGGUAGUAAGAUGGUAAGUUGACAGAAUCGUUAGCACGCUGAAUGAAAUGCUUAACAAUAUUUCUCCACGGCAGCGAGCUGGCAGAACCGUUAGCAUGCCGGGCGAAAUGCGUAGCCGUAUUUCGUCUGACAUUACAUUCUGAGUUCAAAUUCCGCCGAGGUCGACUUUGCUUUACAUCCUUUCGGGGUCGAUAAAUUAAGUACCAGUUAUGCACUAGGGGUCGAUGUAAUCGACUUAAUCUGUUUGUCUGUCCUUGUUUGUCCCCUCUGUGUUUAGCCCCUUGUGGGUAGUAAAGAAAUAGGUAUUUCGUCUGCAGUUAUGUUCUGAGUUCAAAUUCCGCCAAGGUCGACUUUGCUUUUCAUCCUUUCGGGGUUGAUAAAUUAAGUAUCAGUUAUGCACUGGGGGGUCAAUGUAAUCGACUUAAUCCGUUUGUCUGUUCUUGUCUGUCCCCUCUGUGUUUAGCCCCUUGUGGGUAGUAAAGAAAUAGGUAUUUCGUCUGCAGUUACGUUCUAAGUUCAAAUUCCAUCAAGGUCGACUUUGGCCUUCAUCCUUUCGGGGUCGAUAAAUUAAGUACCAGUUACGCACUGGGGUCGAUGUAAUCGACUUAAUACCUAUGUUUGUCCCCUCUGUGUUUAGCCCCUUGUGGGUAAUAAAGAAAUAGGUAUUUCUCCUGUAGCUAUGUUCUGUGUUGAAAUUCCGCCAUGUUUGACUUUGCCUUUCAUCCUUUCAGGGUCGAUAAAAUAAGUACCAGUUGAAUACUGGGGUCGAUGUAAUCGACUCGUCCCCUCGUGGCAAAAUUUUAAACCAUGAUUAUUAUUAUUAUUAAUAGUAGUAGUAGUAGUAGUAGUAGUGAAUUGGUGGUGGUGAGCUAAAACUGUUAGAAUGCUUAGAGGCGUUUCAUCUGUUAUCACUUUAUAAAUUUAAAUUCCACCAAGGUCAACUUUACCUUUCAUCCUUUCAGGGUUGAUAAAAUAAGCACCAGUUAAAUUUGUUGGCCUUGUGCCAAAAUUUGAAACCAUCUUUAUUUACCGUAUAUCUAAUAUUAUCCACAUUUUUUCCCCAAAAUUUAAAUGUCAAAAUCCCUAGUGUGUACUAUAUACGAGGUUAAAACUGAAAAUUAUUUUCUAAGCAAUGUCCGAGUCUCUAUUUGCUGUCCGGCAAUGUUUAUUCAGACGCAUAUUUUUAUGUCGGGCGUGAAAAUACCUUAAGCUAAGCCUGAAAGCAAUGAAGUCAUAAAAGAAUUAUCCAUAACUUCCAGUAAGCAACAUUUAUUAAACAUUAUUACUGUUAUUUCUUUAUUUUCUGCAAACAAAAUGCACAAAAAAGCUACACGCUUGCAUUAUGUUAUAUGUACAAUAAUAAUAAAGGACAUUACCGUAUACGUUUUUACAAACCAAGGACGUUAUAUAGACCUCCUUGACUCAAGUUAGAGAAGGGGUGCAUAUUAUACACAAGGUUUAGGUUUUUCAGAGGUACAGCCCCCUAAAAAUCCCCUGCGUAUUAUACUCAAGGGUGGACUAUACUUGAAGAUUUACGGUAUAUAUUUUAAUAAAAACUGAAAGAAGAAAGAGGAGACGUGUCAAAGAGGUAAAAUGGUUGGGAACCAACGAUCUGUCGGAAAUAUUGAUAUAAAAUUUUGUAAAACUGGUUUAUUUUUAAUAAUUUGUUUUGAGAUUUUUGUUUUGAUUUUUAUUGAAGGAGAGAGAGAGAGCAACAGGGAGACAGAAAAUAUGAUUUUGGGGUUGUAAGUUAUGGAGAAAUACUCUUUUUAUGAGGAAAACUUGGUUAAUACCUUGUCUUAAUUUUAUGGAAAAAAAACCCUCAUUGAUCUCAGACUCUAUUUUUAUGAAGAAACCUGGUUAUCCUCUUGCUUUGUUUAGUAUUUUGAUACUUUUUUUUAACAAAGAAAAAAUCCUAAUUUUUCCUCAUCUUUUAUGAUUUAACUCCUUGGUUACCGCUUUGUUUUUUUGAUGCCAAAGCAACGAGAGGUAAAAGGAGGUAGCAAGAUAAAAAGAAUUCUUCAAAAUAACUUCAUGAAGUUUGUAUUUUGUUUUGUUUUGUUUUUAUUAAAAUUUAUACUGUUUUUAUUUUUUUUAAUCUACUUUAACCCUUUAGUAUUCACGGUAUUCUGUCAAAAGUAAUGCUUAUUUAUUCGCAUUGUUUUAAAUUAAUCCUGCAUCAUCUUGUAGCUUUGAGGUUUUGAUGAAGUAACUAUUCAUUUUUAGAAUUAUAUAGUCAGGCUGGUGUGAGAGGCCAGAUCGAGCCAAUUUGAACAUAAAACAAGGGGGGAUAUUUUGGCCGGAUACGGCCGGUUUGAAUGCUAAAGGGUUAAAUAAGUCCCAAGAGGCAGGACACGCAAAAAUAUGACCACCAAGACUUAUUAUUGUCACCUCUCUGUUACAAAUGCUUUUUCCAUGUGCAAGUUAAACUUGAAUCAUUCAAGAUGCUCUGACUGACCAUUCCAUCUUCUCUGCUGGCAUUUAAUAUUAGGUUGUCCCAAAAUUUUGUAAACACUUGCGAAGAUUGAAUUUUUACUCGCCAAGUACUAACAAAAACAACAAAAAUUAUUCCUCAAAAUAAAGACCAUUGUUUUCCAAGACUUUCUAUGAACUUUUGGGACAACCUUAUAAUUCAGAAUCAAUUCUGAAAAUAAAAUGGUAAAAUUUGAAGACUUGUCUGCUAAUUACAGCAAGUUACAUGAUCACAUAGACAGCUCCUUCAUAUAAAUAAUUCUAUGCUGUUGUUACUACUACUACUACAACCACCACAACUAUUUCUACUACAACUACCACCAUCACUACUACUACUACUACUGCUAUCAGUAGUAGAGAACUCCCCGACCUCUCUACAUUUCCAAACAUCCAUUCAGUAUCCAUGAGGAAGCAUUCAUGCAAUAUAAACAAACCUGCACAUAAAAAUAAUAAAUUAUUCACAUAUAGCCGCAGGAGUGGCUGUGUGGUAAGUAGCUUACUAACCAACCACAUGGUUCUGGGUUCAGUCCCACUGCGUGGCAUCUUGAGCAAGUGUCUUCUGCUAUAGCCCCGGGCCGACCAAUGCCUUGUGAGUGGUUUUGGUCGACGGAAACUGAAAGAAA